CUGGCCUACAGGUGUUUGACACACUUAUGCUCAGCCACAGGCCCUGGGUGUAUGAAAAAGUGAUCCUGAUCGACAGGCACCUUAGCUUGGGGCUCAGUCAGUCAUAAAUGAGGCGACAGUUCACCUGUCUCAAAGGUGGCAACUUAAAUAACUCCCUCUGGGAUAUCAAAGCUGGCAAAUGACCCUGGGAAACAGCUAGACGGCAGCACAACAGAGGCAGCUCCCGCGGCAGAUGGGCACAUUCCCCAGGUCCCAACCUUCAUCAGUGUGUGUCAUUUUUAUUGCAGCUUCUGCCUCCCCAGCAGAGAGGGACCUUCCCAGAGAAGAUGUCUUGCGCCUCACCUGAUCUUGUUCUGAGAGUAGGAGACUGGAAGAGAAGCGUUCAACUCCCCAAACACAGCUGGGUUUGUUUCGUUUAAUCUCCCAGCCUGUUUUUCUGCUGUCCUCCUGAAGAAUGUUUAAUCUCACAGUUAAAACCACCAAAAGCGACUUUUUUCCCCCUCAACUGCUCAGUAACACAUGACCGUGCAAAUUCGUUUGGCCCCAGCGCCACAAGUCAUAAAAGGCAUCUAGUGGGCGGCAUGAGUCAAUCAGGCCUUUGGACGGUGACGUAACCACAGCUUGUCAGUUUCCCCAUCCAGGCAGCCCCAAUCCCCCAGUGCAGACAUCUGGAGCCAGGGAUUGACAAGUGGAUUCCAGGAUUGGGCCCUGCCUCCCGCCCUGUUCAGUUCCAGCCCAGCCACGGCCGCCGCCAACGAGGACACGCACUGUCUUUCUGCACAUUCCCACGUACACACACCCCCGCAGCCCCCUCUCCACUCAUUCCUGCAUUUCCGGCAAUGUGAAUUCUGACAGCUCGGGCAGUGUCAGCCUCUCCGGUGCAUUCCUCACCACACCACCUCACUGCUCCCGAGCCUGCUGACAGCACUCCCCGCCAUACCUACCAAGCCGAAGGUGCAAGGAACCUCUUGAUCCCCACUGUGUCUUUGUCCCAGGGCCACAGCAAAAUAGCACCCCCCUCCCCCACACACCCUCUAGCCUAAUUUAUUAGACUUUUAAACACAUUUAUUUACUGUGAUAUCUACACCACACCAAACAUCUGGAGGGAAACCGGGAGACAAUCCACCAGGAAUUUAAAUGUUUGUUCUGCAAUGUAACUUUGAAAACCGAACCAGGAAAACUUGACAUCUUUAGCCAAUUGCUUGGUGGUGAGUAGACUUAAGCCAAUAUAUAAUCUGUAAAGGUUGUCCCUCUUUGCCCUCUCUCUAUCCAUGAAACGCAUUCACCAAACAGCCCAGAAAUAUUUCUUUCUUCUCCUCUCAGAGGUAUGUGAAACCAACCUGAAUCAACAACAUAGUUGUUCAACCAGCCUCACUGAGAACGAAGGCAUUUCAGAGCUGGAAAGACGCUAGGGUCUGGGGUCUUAUCUUCCACAUUUAUCUGCCUUAUUAUAAUCCAUCCAGUCAUCCUCUUUGCCCUUGCCAGAUCUCAUCGCUUACACUACCACUACCGAAGGAGCAUAACGUCUGUGACUUUUCUUUUUUUUUUUUUUUUUUUUUGAGAUGGAGUCUUGCUCGGUAACCGGGCUGAAGUGCAGUGGCAGGAUCUUGGCUUACUGCAACCUCUGCUUCCUGGGUUCAAGUGAUUCUCCUGCCUCAGCCUUCUGAGUAGCUGGGACUCCAGGCAUGCGCCACCACGCCCAGUUAAUUUUUGUAUUUUUAGUAGAGAUGGGGUUUCACUAUGUUGGCCAGGUUGGUCUCGAACUCCUGACCUCGUGAUCCAUCUGCCUCGGCCUCCCAAAGUGCUGGGAUGACAGGUGUGAGCCACCGCACCCGGCCACGUCUGUGACUUUUCUAAAGCUUUAAGAUGAUGUCACCCAUAGGCAGAAAGGCCCACUCAUUUCGUGCAUCUGCAGUCACUCUUCUGACGAGGUGCGGCUCUCUUUUGUUCUAUCAAAGAGAAAGCCAGUCUAAAUUAAUGGGAAACUAGAGAAUUAGGUCAUUUUUCAAGAUGAAAUUGCUGGUAGCUUAAGGAAUCAGCUACUUGAAUCCCAUGCUAAAAAAGUGUAACUCCUGAGGAGUGAGCUCUUCUUUCUUCCUUCCAUAAUGUCAGGCACUAAGGGAGGUUCAGAAACACAGAGCAGCAUCUACUCCUUUCUCAACGAGCGUGGGGUCCAGUGCAGUUGGCCCUCAUUUAACAAAUAAUUACACCCAUGCGUGAAAGGUCCAGUGGGGAAACAGUGCGGGGAGCCUCAGGCAGAGCUGAUUCAGGCCUGGGGAGGCACGGGAGCCACAUGUUCAGGGUCCACAGGCCCAGCGGAGUGAUACGGAAGUUUCCAAGAUGGUAAGCCUCUCUCCUGGCCCAUGCUCACCAACGGGACCCCAUUCCUAACCAGGCUUUCCCUCUCUCUCUUUUAAGUGUUCCAGGAAUGUUCCUACCCCUGCGUCUUUGCUGAAGCCCCUCUUGCCUGGGAUGCCCUCUGUCCUCUCUUUCUGCCCACACACAUCCUGCCAGUCCUUCAGACAGGGCCAGCCUCACGGGCAUAGGACCUGAGCAGUUUCACAGGGCCCUAUGCACAGAAGGAUCCCAAGCUCGGUUGAUUGCUCCGAUCUUGCCAUCUUGAAACUCUUUGAUAAUUUUAUCUUUUAUCUUGUGUUUUGGGAGUGAAAUCCAAUGGGAUAUUGGGGCCUGCAAAGGAGAAGAGGAGAUCCGCACAAACCCGUUCCUGGCUGCUGCAUUCACCUCCAGCGUUUGUGAUGCCCCAGAGCACAGAACUCCAGGGAGCCCACGAUGCAGGAGAGUUCAGCGACAUUCACUGAGUACAAGAGAAGACUGUUGGGAGGCACCAAUGGACUUUGCAACUGGAGAUCUCCCAACUGGACCAUGUCACUGUUAUGUUUAAUUUGCACUGUGCACAGUAGGUACCCAGUCAACGUUUGUCGAAUUCCAUGGACUGGGCCUUAUACCUCCGAGGAUUUUUCACAGCAGUAGCAUGUGCACAUGCACAGAACGAGAACACAACCAAUGCUUGUUUGCUGGUGAAGACCUGGUCUCAGUAUUUUGCCCAGGAAACCCUUUCUUCAUGGACAGCAUGAGGCAAGCUAUGGCCCUUGCUGUGGUCUCAGUGGUUCAGCACGGAAGAUGAAGAUGACGGGCAGUCUCAGAAUAUUAGCUUUAGAAGGGACUUUGGAUCCUUUUGAUUUUGGUAGGUGAAAUACUUUUUAAAAAUAAAGAAAACGGACUUUGGACAAAUGCUCUCAUUUUGUAAAUGAAAAAGUAGAGACAGGAAGAGUAACUGAUUUGUCCAAAAUCAAACAAAGUAAAUUGUGUUGCAUCCUCUCCAUCCGUAACCACCUUCGCCUUCCCUAACUGCUCCAUGUGGCCUGGGAAAGUCCACUUCACCUCGUCUUAGAGGUGGGCUUCUGAUUCUAGCUAAGCCAACCCCCA
rnacentral:lncRNA from 10 species